rnacentral:rRNA from 1 species
AGGAGACGCUGGCGGCGUGCCUAACACAUGCAAGUCGAGCGGAGAUACAUUGAAGAUUUAUCGGAUAUGUAUCUUAGCGGCGGACGGGUGAGUAACGCGUGGGUAACCUGCCUUAUACGAGGGGGAUAACACAGGGAAACUUGUGCUAAUACCGCAUAAUAUCAUUGUAUGGCAUCAUGUGAUGAUCAAAGGAGCAAUCCGGUAUAAGAUGGACCCGCGUCCAAUUAGCUAGUUGGUGGUGUAACGGACCACCAAGGCGACGAUUGGUAGCCGAACUGAGAGGUUGAUCGGCCACAUUGGGACUGAGACACGGCCCAGACUCCUACGGGAGGCAGCAGGUGGGGAAUAUUGCACAAUGGGGGAAACCCUGAUGCAGCAACGCCGCGUGAAGGAAGAAGGUCUUCGGAUUGUAAACUUCUUUGAUGAGGGACGAAUAAAGUGACGGUACCUCAAAAACAAGCCACGGCUAACUACGUG